rnacentral:lncRNA from 10 species
CCAUGGACAAAAUGGGCCCUCAGUGACUAUCCGAUGCAGGGCCAGGCACUGAAUGCAGAUGCAUAUACUGGAGCUCAGAGGAUUUCAGUGAGUUACCCCGGCCACAGCCAGUGAGCAGCGAUGUCAAGAUGUCUUGAAUCCUGGGCCUCAGCUGCAAAGCCGUAACCAGUCCUCUGUGUUCCCAUGGGCCAGUGCUUUACAAAGGUCCUUGCAGAGAAUCAUGCCAGGUUAGGCUGGUGGUCCCAGAGGAGGAUAAGAGGCUUAUGGAGCAGAGUUGCCUAAUCAGGCCCAGCCAAGAUCAGCAGACCCUCAACCAAUACAUAGACACACGAACCAGAUAAAUGGUUUUGUUAUUUGCCACUGAGAAAU